rnacentral:rRNA from 1 species
CCUACGCACUCCUACGGGAGGCAGCAGUGGGGAAUAUUGCACAAUGGGCGCAAGCCUGAUGCAGCCAUGCCGCGUGUAUGAAGAAGGCCUUCGGGUUGUAAAGUACUUUCAGCAGUGAGGAAGGUGGGUAUGUUAAUAGCAUACUCAUUUGACGUUAGCUGCAGAAGAAGCACCGGCUAACUCCGUGCCAGCAGCCGCGGUAAUACGGAGGGUGCGAGCGUUAAUCGGAAUUACUGGGCGUAAAGCGCAUGCAGGUGGUUUGUUAAGUCAGAUGUGAAAGCCCGGGGCUCAACCUCGGAAUUGCAUUUGAAACUGGCAAACUAGAGUACUGUAGAGGGGGUAGAAUUUCAGGUGUAGCGGUGAAAUGCGUAGAGAUCUGAAGGAAUACCGGUGGCGAAGGCGGCCCCCUGGACAGAUACUGACACUCAGAUGCGAAAGCGUGGGGAGCAAACAGGAUUAGAUACCCUGGUAG